CUCUUUGUAGCUCAGUUGGUUAGAACGCUGCACUGGAAUCGCAGGGCUGCAGGUUAUAUUCCUGCCAGAGGGC